CAUCUGGAUGCUGCUGCCUCUCAGGGAUGACGGCCGUGUCUGCCAUCAUCAUGUGAACGUGACACACCUACAACUAGCGCCCGCUAACCAUCAGUAAUGUGUAAUCAUUGGAGGCGCUGACCGGUCGUCACGGAUCCCUUGUUGAAUCAUAAUGAGCUGCUUUCUGCUGAGGAUCCUCUGGAGAGCAGUGCGCCAGCUGAGGCCCAGUAGGUCAGGUUGCCCAAUGUCGAUAUGUUGAAAAUACAUCUAUCGCUUUGAAACAAUAAUCCAACAUUUGAAAUGAAUCACCAGUUCAUUACUCUCUCAGUUAGUACACAGAUUACAACAAGGC
ensembl:lncRNA